rnacentral:rRNA from 1 species
AAUCUACUUAGCUUGCUUUGGAGAUUCCUAGUGGCGAACGGGUGAGUAACACGUGAGUUACCUGCCCUGAAGCGGGGGAUAGCCCGGGGAAACUCGGAUUAAUACCCCAUGUGAUCGUAAGAUUAAAGGCGGCUUCGGCUGUCGCUUCAGGAUGGGCUCGCGGCCUAUCAGCUUGUUGGUGAGGUAAAGGCUCACCAAGGCUAUGACGGGUAGCUGGUCUGAGAGGAUGAUCAGUCACACUGGAACUGAGACACGGUCCAGACACCUACGGGUGGCAGCAGUCGAGAAUCAUUCGCAAUGGGCGAAAGCCUGACGGUGCGACGCCGCGUGGAGGAUGAAGGCCCUAGGGUCGUAAACUCCUGUCAUCAGGGAGUAACAGCUUACGUAGUAACUGACGUGGGCCUUGAUAGUACCUGAAGAGGAAGGGACGGCAAACUUCGUGCCAGCAGCCGCGGUAAUACGAAGGUCCCAAGUGUUGUUCGGAUUUACUGGGCGUAAAGAGUCUGUAGGCGGCUUAGUAAGUCAGAUGUGAAAUCCCGGGGCUCAACCUCGGAACUGCAUCCGAUACUGCUAAACUAGAGUAUUGGAGGGGAAUUUGGAAUUCUCGGUGUAGCAGUGAAAUGCGUAGAUAUCGAGAGGAACACUAGUGGCGAAGGCGAAAUUCUGGACAACUACUGACGCUGAGAGACGAAGGCCAGGGUAGCGAAAAGGAUUAGAUACCCUUGUAGUCCUGGCAGUAAACGGUGCACGCUUGGUGUGGGAGGAUUCGACCCCUUCCGUGCCGGAGCUAACGCGUUAAGCGUGCCGCCUGGGGAGUACGGUCGCAAGAUUAA